rnacentral:rRNA from 1 species
UGGGGAAUUGUUCGCAAUGGGCGCAAGCCUGACGACGCAACGCCGCGUGGAGGAUGAAGAAUUUCGGUUCGUAAACUCCUUUCGACCGAGAUGAACACCUCGCGAUCUAAUACAUCGCGGGGCUGACAGUAUCGAGAGAAGAAGCCCCGGCUAACUCUGUGCCAGCAGCCGCGGUAAUACAGGGGGGGCAAGCGUUGUUCGGAAUUACUGGGCGUAAAGGGUUCGUAGGUGGCCGACUAAGUCAGACGUGAAAUCCCUCAGCUUAACUGGGGAACUGCGUCUGAUACUGGUUGGCUUGAGUGCAGGAGAGGAACGCGGAAUUCCAGGUGUAGCGGUGAAAUGCGUAGAUAUCUGGAGGAACACCGGUGCGAAGGCGCGUUCUGGACUGUAACUGACACGUGA